CGCGGCCUAUCAGCUUGUUGGUGAGGUAAAGGCUCACCAAGGCAUUGACGGGUAGCUGGUCUGAGAGGACGAUCAGCCACACUGGGACUGAGACACGGCCCAGACUCCUGCGGGAGGCAGCAGUGGGGAAUCUUGCGCAAUGGGCGAAAGCCUGACGCAGCAACGCCGCGUGGGGGAUGAAGGCUCUCGGGUUGUAAACCCCUUUCAGCAGGGACGAAAUUGACGGUACCUGUAGAAGAAGCCCCGGCCAACUACGUGCCAGCAGCCGCGGUAACACGUAGGGGGCAAGCGUUGUCCGGAAUUAUUGGGCGUAAAGGGCUCGUAGGCGGUUCGGUAAGUCAGAUGUGAAAGGUUGGGGCUCAACCCUAAGACUGCAUUUGAUACUGCCGUGACUGGAGUCCGGUAGAGGAGUGUGGAAUUCCUGGUGUAGCGGUGAAAUGCGCAGAUAUCAGGAGGAACACCGACGGCGAAGGCAGCACUCUGGGCCGGUACUGACGCUGAGGAGCGAAAGCGUGGGUAGCAAACAGGAUUAGAUACCCUGGUAGUCCACGCCGUAAACGUUGGGCACUAGGUGUGGGGCCUUAUCAACGGGUUCCGUGCCGUAGCUAACGCAUUAAGUGCCCCGCCUGGGGAGUACGG
rnacentral:rRNA from 1 species